UUUGCUGCAAAGCAGGAAGCACUAUUUGGGAGUAAGCCCAGCCCAAUGCAGCAGUUAACAGGGAAGAAGCCUUUGGGUCAGAGCUCCAACGCGAACAUGGUAACUAGGACACUGACUUCUCGCUGUGUCUCAACACCUUGGCUCAGCAACCCUUCUACACACAGGCCCCAACCGUUGAGCAGUUCUAUGAAGAAACCUGGACCCUCCCAAUUUAGCUCAAUUGAGAAGAAAACAAAGAAUAGUACAUCUCCGACAAAAGGAAAGUAUGUGUUUAGAGUUAUUUAAUUUGUCCUUUCACAUGAUCCAUCAGAAGUAACUUUUGCUUUUGCCAUGCUCUUAGGAAGCCGUCCAAUGCUACAAGUCCUAGCACCAAAUCUAUCAAGGAAACUUGCGUGUCACCCAUUGCUACUGAUGCAGAAUCUAAGAUUCCAGAGGGGAGAAGCCACCUUUCUUUUCUCCCUCUGUUUCACCAUUGAAGCAGAGGGGAGAAGCCAUUUAGGCUAAAAGGACACUCGUUUGCUACAAAGCUGGUUUCUGUAUCUAAGAUUUAGGACCCAAGAAGGGCUUUAAAUUGAACAACAAAGAAAAUGACAAAUUUGGCUCUACCGAUAUAUGCUAAGAUCUUUGACACUGAAGAAUAAGAAAUGCUAAUGUUAAGAUCUUUCGCAGUUAGAGAAAACUAGAAUGUUAGAGGGAUGUCUGUUUCAUGUGAACAAAAACUUUUCAACCCAAUCUGGACAGGUCCAUCUAUAGCACAUUGAGCUGAUAUUUUUACGAGACAGCCCCAUUCUAGAAUGUUGUGCUGAUUGUGAUUUGUGAAUAGUUUUAAUAGUAAUCCAAUAAUUAAUGGCACUCACGAAUCAUAUAAAAAGAUAUAAUUGACUUUUCAAUCUUUGGCCGAAUUGGUUCUGAAAUCAACAAUGAUGUCACUCCUACAGUCUAUAGGAAUACCUCCUGAUAUCUGCUGCCAUAUGUGUGCAUGCAGGAUAAUAAGUGAACUGCCACUGUGUCAACCUUGUGCAUAGACUAGUUAUAGUUAAAUGACAAAUCACUGGGCAAUUGACAUGGAAAGUAAACCUGCAAGCCUCCUCCUAUGAACCACCUUAGUUUUUUUCUUUUUUCUUUUUGUUUUUUGAGCAACCCACGAGAAGACCCUAUUAACCUUCACCACAUUCAGGCCUGCGAGACCGUACAUUUUUAUUUUUCAUUUGAAUGCGAAAGCAACAUGCAAAUCUUAUAUAUUUUUCCCCUUCGCUGCAUGUUUAUGGUCUGAAAUAAGAUAAGAAAUUUGUGUUGAAAAUAAUUAGAUUGAAAGGGCUUAAAAUGCUCUUCGUAUUCAAGUUUCUCUCACAAUUAGGGCUUCUAGUAAGUAUUUGAAGUGACAGCUAAUUAUUUUUUUCAUGCUUUAUGGUACUAUCUUUCUUUUUUUAUUUUGAGGAAAACUUUAUGGUAGUAUCAUAUCUACUAUCUCCUAUAUUUGACAUUCUUGUUGAACACAGUAUUUUUGGUGUUUUACCAUUAAAGGGGGAAAAGAAAAAUCAGAUCUAUUUGUUUGAUUAUGUAAAGGACAGACAUUUGUUAGACAGUCGAAUUUAUACUUUAUGAUUCUAACGAAGAAAAGAGAUGUUAGUAACAUUUCUUGUUAACCUCAAUAAAAAAGGGAAAAAUAGAAAAGUGCACUGUUGCUUGUGUUUUCCUUCUCAUACGUGAACACUUGUUAGGUCUUGUAGCUUAAUCUAGAUUCCACUUCGAUAAUUUUCCAGAGUAGACAACCUUGGUGGUGGUGUCAACAAUGGCUUUGAUGGCAUCAAGGAUUGUGGUUCCUGUUGCAAAGGAUCGCUCGAAGUUCAAAACAUUACCAUGCUCUGCAAUGCCUGAAAGAAAUAAGAAACAAAGUCAAUCUAAGGUGUUUAGAAUGUUUACCAAUUGUUAGAUUGUUCCCACUGCGUCCUUGCCAAGUGAUAGUCCGUCCUCCACACCGACAGCCCAAGUUGUCGGCAUGGCUUCCAGCUACAAGGAUCUUCUUGGCCUUCUUAGGAAUAGGCAACAGUGGAUUGUCCGUAGACAUUCCAUUUUUUUGUAGUACAAGUGAUUUCUCGUCUCUUCAUCUCCAUUCUCCUCUCUCUCUCUCUCUCUCUCUCUCUCUUUCCGUCUCCACCGGAACCCCUAGCCCCUUUCUUUCUUCUUCUUUCACCUCCGGCCGAGCCCUUCUCCUGUCCUUCCUCUCAUUUUGCUUUCCCCCUCCUCUUCUCCCUCUCGCCGUGCCACCGUGGGGUGGGCCUCCUCCGGGAGAUGCUCCCACCUCGGAGCGGCAGAAGGGAAGGCCCUGGACCUCCUCCGAAGUGGUGCCGGAGGAGUCGAACGGGGUCCCCGAGGUGGGGCCGAGCCCCUGGGAGCUCCCCUGGGGAGGCCGACGCUUCCUCGGCCUGCAGCCGCUCCGGCGACUGCGGCCGAGGGGUGCCCUUCUCCAGGGUGGGAGCAGUGUGACAGGGAGGGGCUAAACCUCCUUCGAAGUGAUGCCGGAGUGAGUUUUAGUCUCCGGGCAUCUCCCUUACCCCGAUCCGACCACGGCGGAGGAGGAGAACCACCGUGACCGAGGAGGCGCGAGAGAUACAGGUACGAUCCUCCCUUUUUUUUCCGCUUUUUUUCUUUCUUUAUUUUCUUUUAUUUUCUUUUUCGCCUCCUCCCUCUGUGGUGGUGCCACCACCUCCUCACCGGAGGGGGGUGGGACUCGGCCAGGGCUUGACAGCCCUGCGGUCGCGUCGGGGUACCCUAGGGCAACCGCGGCUGAGCCUGCGGUGCCUGUAGGCCGAGCCCAUCUGGGCUCGGCCCGGAUUGGCAACUGGGCUUGGGAUGGGCCUGGUUGGGCUCGGCUUCUCCUUUCUUUUCUCCCUCUGUUUUACCAUUGAAGCAGAGGGGAGAAGCCAUUUAGGCUAAAAGGGCACUAGUUUGCUACAAAGCUUGUUUCCGUAUUUAAGAUUUAGGACCCAAGAAGGGCUUUAAAUUGAACAACAAAGAAAAAUGACAAAUUUGGCUCUACCGAUAUAUGCUAGAUGAGGCCAUACAACUAUGCAGAACUUUGACACUGACGAAUAAGAAAUGCUAAUGUUAAGAUCUUUCUCAUUUAUAACUUCAUAAUAUUUAGAUAUGAUAGUGGAACAGUUGGAGAAAACUAGAAUGUUAGAGGGAUGUCUGUUUCAUGCGAACAAAAACUUUUCAACCCAAUCUGGACAGGGCCAUCUAUAGCACGUUGAGCUGAUAUUUUUACGAGACAGCCCCAUUCUAGAAUGUUGUGCUGAUUGUGAUUUGUCAAUUGUUUUAACAGUAAUCCAAUAAUUAAUGGCACUAACGAAGAAAAGAGAUGUUAGUAACAUUUCUUGUUAACCUCAAUAAAAAAGGGAAAAAUAGAAUAGUGCACUGUUUUCCUUCUCAUACGUGAACACUUGUUAGGUCUUGUAGCUUAAUCUAGAUUCCACUUCGAUAAUUUUCCAGAGUAGACAACCUUGGUGGUGUCAACAAUGGCCUUGAUGGCAUCAAGGAUUGUGGUUCCUGUUGCAAAGGAUCGCUCGAAGUUCAAAAGAUUACCAUGCUCUGCUCUGUCUGAAAGAAAUAAGAAACAAAGUCAAUCUAAGGUGUUUAGAAUGUUUACCAAUUGUAAGAUUGUUCCCACUGCGUCCUUGCCAAGUGGUAGUCCAUCUUCCACACUGGCAGCCCAAGUUGUCGGCAUGGCUCCCAGCUACAAGGAUCUUCUUGGCCUUCUUAGGAAGAGGUAGCAGUGGAUUGUCCGUAGACUUUCCAUUUUUUAGUAGUACAAGUGAUUUCUCGCCUCUUCGUCUCCAUUCUCCUCUCUCUCUCUUUCCCCCUCUGUCUCCACCGGAAGCCCUAGCCCCUUUCUUUCUUCUUCUUUCACGUCCGCCGAGCCCUUCUCCUGUCCUUCCUCUCUCUUUGCUUCCCCCCUCCUCUUCUCCCUCUCGCCGUGCCAUCAUGGGGUGAGCCUCCUCCGGGAGAUGCUCCCACCUCGGAGUGGCAGAAGGGAAGGCCCUGGACCUCCACCGAAGUGGUGCCGGAGGAGUCGAACGGGGUCUCCGAGGUGGGGCCGAGCCACUGGGUGCUCCCUUGAGGAGGCCGACGCUUCCUCGGCCUGCAGCCGCUUCGGCGACUGCGGCCGAGGGGUGCCCUUCUCCAGGGUGGGAGCUGUGGGAGAGGGAGGGGCUAAACCUCCUCCGAAGUGAUGCCGGAGUGAGUUUUAGUCUCCGGGGACCUCCUUUACCCCGAUCCGACCACGGCGGAAGAGGAGAACCACCGUGACCGAGGAGGCGCGAGAGACCCAGGUACGAUCCUCCUUUUUUUUUCCCCACUUUUUCUUUCUUUAUUUUCUGUUAUUUUCUUGUUCGCCUCCUCCCUCUGUGGUGGUGCCACCACCUACUCACCUGAGGGAGGUGGGACUUGGCCAGGGCCUGACGGCCCUGCGGUCGCGUUGGGGUACCCUUGGGCAACUGCGGCUGAGCUUGCGGUGCCCUGGGUGCCCGCAGGCCGAGCCUAAAUGGGCUCGGCCCGGAUUGGCCACUUGUCCUGGGCCAGGCUUGGUUGGGCUCGGCUUCUCCUUUCUUUUCUCCCUCUGUUUUACCAUUGAAACAGAGGGGAGAAGCCAUUUAGGCUAAAAGGACACUGGUUUGCUGCAAAGAUGGAUUCUGUAUCUAAGAUUUAGGACCCAAGAAGGGCUUUAAAUCGAACAACAAAGAAAAUGACAAAUUUGGCUCUACCGAUAUAUGCUAGAUGAGGCCAUACAACUUUGAGGAACUUUGACACUGACGAAUAAGAAAUGCUAAUGCUAAGAUCUUUCGCAUUUAUAACGCCAUAAUAUUUAGAUAUGAUAGUAGAACAGUUAGAGAAAACUAGAAUGUUAGAGGGAUGUCUGUUUCAUGUGAACAAAAACUUUUCAACCCAAUCUGGACAGGGCCAUCUAUAGCACGUUGAGCUGAUAUUUUUACGAGACUGCCCUAUUCUAGAAUGUUGUGCUGAUUGUGAUUUGUCAAUAGUUUUAACAGUAAUCCAAUAAUUAAUGGCACUCACGAAUCAUAUAAAAAGAUAUAGCUGCCUUUCAAUCUUUGGCUGAAUUGGUUCAGAAAUCAAUAAUGAUGUCACUCCUACAGUCUAUGGGAAUACCUCCUGAUAUCUGCUGCCAUAUAUGUGCGUGCAGGACAUUAAGUGUACUGCCACUGUGUCAACCUUGUGCAUAGCUAGUUAUAGUUAAAUGACAAAUCACUGGGCAUUUGACAUGGAAAGUAAACCUGCAAGCCUCCUUCUAUGAACCACCUUAGUUUUUUUCUUUUUUCUUUUUGUUUUUUGAGCAACCCACGGGAAGACCCUAUUAACCUUCACCUCAUUCAGGCCUGCGAGACCUUACAUUUUUAUUUUUCAUUUGAAUGCGAAAGCAACAUGCAGUCUUAUAUAUUUUUCCCCUUCGCUGCAUGUUUAUAGUCUGAAAUAAGAUAAGAAAUUUGUGUUGAAAUAAUUAGAUUGAAAGGGCUUAAAAUACUCUUCGUAUUCAAGUUUCUCUCACAAUUAGGGCUUCUAGUAAGUAUUUGAAGUGACAGCUAAUUAUUUUUUUCAUGCUUUCUAGUUUAUGGUACUAUCUUUCUUUUUUUUUUCGGAGGAAAACUUUAUGGUAGUAACAUAUCUACUAUCUCCUAUAUUUGACAUUCUUGUUGAACACAGCAUUUUUGGUGUUUUACCAUUAAAGGGGGAAAGAAAAAUCAGAUCAAUUUGUUUGAUUAUGUAAAGGACAGACAUUUGUUAGACAGUCGAAUUUAUACUUUAUGAUUCUAACGAAGAAAAGAGAUGUUAGUAAUAUUUCUUGUUAACCUCAAUAACAAAGGGAAAAAUAGAAAAGUGCACUGUUGCUUGUGUUUUCCUUCUCAUACGUGAACACUUGUUAGGUCUUGUAGCUUAAUCUAGAUUCCACUUCGGUAAUUUUCCAGAGUAGACAACCUUGGUGGUGGUGUCAACAAUGGCCUUGAUGGCAUCAAGGAUUGUGGUUCCUGUUGCAAAGGAUCGCUCGAAGUUCAAAACAUUACCAUGCUCUGCAAUGUCUGAAAGAAAUAAGAAACAAAGUCAAUCUAAGGUGUUUAGAAUGUUUACCAAUUGUUAGAUUGUUCCCACUGCGUCCUUGCCAAGUGAUAGUCCGUCCUCCACACUGACAGCCCAAGUUGUCGGCAUGGCUCCCAGCUACAAGGAUCUUCUUGGCCUUCUUAGGAAGAGGCAACAGUGGAUUGUCCGUAGACUUUCCAUUUUUUUUUGUAGUACAAGUGAUUUCUCGCCUCUUCGUCUCCAUUCUCCUCUCUCUCUCCCCCCCUCCGUCUCCACCGGAAGCCCUAGCCCCUUUCCUUCUUCUUUCACCUCCGGCCGAGCCCUUGUCCCGUCCUUCCUCUCUCUUUGCUUCCCCUCCUCCUCUUCUCCCUCUCGCCGUGCCACCGUGGGGUGAGCCUCCUCUGGGAGAUGCUCCCACCUCGGAGCGGCAGAAGGAAAGGCCCUGGACCUCCUCUGAAGUGGUGCCGGAGGAGUCGAACGGGGUCCCCGAGGUGGGGCCGAGCCCCUGGGAGCUCCCCUGAGGAGGCCGACGCUUCCUCGGCUUGCAGCCGCUCCGGCGACUGCUGUCGAGGGGUGCCCUUCUCCAGGGUGGGAGCAGUGGGAGAGGGUGGGGCUAAACCUCCUCCGAAGUGAUGCCGGAGUGAGUUUUAGUCUCCGGGGACCUCCCUUACCCCGAUCCGACCAUGGCGGAGGAGGAGAACCACCGUGACCGAGAAGGAGGCGAGAGAGAUCCAGGUACGAUCCUCCCUUUUUUUUGCCCCCGUCUUUUUCUUUCUUUAUUUUCUUUUUCACCUCCUCCCUAUGUGGUGGCGCCACCACCUCCUCACCGGAGGGAGGUGGGACUCGGCCAGGGCCUGACGGCCUGCGGCCGCAUCGGGGUGUCCUAGGGCAACCGCGGCUGAGCCUGCGGUGACCUGGGUGCCUGCAGGCCGAGCCCGGAUUGGCUACUGGGCCUGGUACGGGCCUGGUUGGGCUCGGCUUCUCCUUUCUUUUCUCCCUCUGUUUCACCAUUGAAACAGAGGGGAGAAGCCAUUUAGGCUAAAAGGACACUGGUUUGCUACAAAGCUGGUUUCUAUAUCUAAGAUUUAGGACCCAAGAAGGGCUUUAAAUUGAACAACAAAGAAAAUGACAAAUUUGGCUCUACCGAUAUAUGCUAGAUGAGGCCAUACAACUAUGAGGAACUUUGACACUGACGAAUAAGAAAUGCUAAUGUUAAGAUCUUUUGCAUUUAUAACGCCAUAAUAUUUAUUUAUGAUAGUGGAACAGUUAGAGAAAACUAGAAUGUUAGAGGGAUGUCUGUUUCAUGUGAACAAAAACUUUUCAACCCAAUCUGGACAGGGCCAUCUAUAGCACGUUGAGCUGAUAUUUUUACGAGACUGCCCCAUUCUAGAAUGUUGUGCUGAUUGUGAUUUGUCAAUAGUUUUAACAGUAAUCCAAUAAUUAAUGGCACUCACGAAUCAUAUAAAAAGAUAUAGCUGACUUUUCAAUCUUUGGCCGAAUUGGUUCAGAAAUCAACAAUGAUGUCACUCCUACAGUCUAUGGGAAUACCUCCUGAUAUCUGCUGCCAUAUAUGUGCGUGCAGGAUAUUAAGUGUACUGCCACUGUGUCAACCUUGUGCAUAGCUAGUUAUAGUUAAAUGACAAAUCACUGGGCAUUUGACAUGGAAAGUAAACAUGCAAGCCUCCUUCUAUGAACCACCUUAGUUUUUUUCUUUUUUCUUUUUGUUUUUUGAGCAACCCACGAGAAGACCCUAUUAACCUUCACCUCAUUCAGGCCUGCGAGACCUUACAUUUUUAUUUUUCAUUUGAAUGCGAAAGCAACAGGCAGUCUUAUAUAUUUUCCCCCUUCGCUGCAUGUUUAUAGUCUGAAAUAAGAUAAGAAAUUUGUGUUGAAAUAAUUAGAUUGAAAGGGCUUAAAAUGCUCUUCGUAUUCAAGUUUCUCUCACAAUUAGGGCUUCUAGUAAGUAUUUGAAGUGACAGCUAAUUAUUUUUUUCAUGCUUUCUAGUUUAUGGUACUAUCUUUCUUUUUUUGUUCUGAGGAAAACUUUAUGGUAGUAUCGUAUCUACUAUCUCCUAUAUUUGACAUUCUUGUUGAACACAGUAUUUUUGGUGUUUUACCAUUAAAGGGGGAAAAGAAAAAUCAGAUUGAUUUGUUUGAUUAUGUAAAGGACAGACAUUUGUUAGACAGUCGAAUUUAUACUUUAUGAUCUAACGAAGAAAAGAGAUGUUAGUAACAUUUCUUGU